GAGGAAGCCCAACAGCUGCAGCCGAGCGUCCAAAAAAAGAACACAGGGCUUCUACUCCAGGGUUUCCUCGCCAGGGAACCCCAAACACACAGGACCUGGAGAAGCCGGGUAGAGCUGGCUCCUGGCCCUGCGCUUGGGUGGUCGGCUGCCUUAAGAAGAACUGCACCCCAGAGACAGGCUCGCAGCUGCCGACCUUAUCCACUCGCCCUUUCUGCUGGAGCCCAGGCCCAGUGCUCCAGCAAGGAGGCUGAGAAAAUGCUGAAGACUGAUGCCCACGGGGGACAGCUUGGGCUAAGGAUAACGUUUGCAAAACAAACCUUUAAAAACCCAUAGCAACCUGUUUCCUAGAGCACACUCUUCAUCUCUCCACCCCCAAACUAGUCCCGACUCGGAUCCUCCUUUUCCUAUCCUCUUUCUCUUGCUCUCCCGUCUCCUAUUCACUUUUCUUCUCCUUUCCUCUUGAUUAUUAUAAACAAAUGCUUUCCAAGUCUUACCGCCAUCAUAUGUGUACAUAUGCAACCCUUACUGUUACCAAUUUGUUGAAGUCAAGACAGGAGGAGGCAAAGUUUAAAAAUCAGAAGUAUUGCAGGAAAUGAAAAUGGAGUGAGUGUUGCCUGGGUAUCAUAAUUUUUUUUUUUUUUUUAACAGUUCCUCUACUUGGCUCUCCUCCAAAGGUACGCGGCCACAGCAGGCAGGGGCUUGGCAGUGUGGGAGGAGACACCACAGAAGACAGGGAAGAACUACCAGGCCUUGGUUCAUCUCCACACUGGCGAGAGAGGACGUGCAGUUACCUGCUACCUGUUCGACUCAGUCUUUUACGUUGGAGUAACUUAACACAUUGCUGCCCUUAACUUUGACUUACUUGCUUUUAAAGAUGAUGAAGCUGGCCAGGCGCCGUGACUCAUACCUAUAAUCCCAGCAUUUUGGGAGGCCCAGGCAGGUGGAUCACGAGGUCAGCAGUUCAAGACCAGCCUGGCCAACAUGGUGAAACCCUGUCUCUACCAAAAAUACAAAAAUUAGCUGGGCGUGGUGGCGCGUGCCUAUAAUCCCAGCUACUCAGGAGGCUGAGGCAGGAGAAUCACUUGAACCCGGGAGGCAGAGGUUGCAGGGAGCCGAGAUCGCACCACUGCACUCCAGCCUGGGCAAUAGAGCAAGUCUCCAUCUAGGGAACAACAACAACAAAAAGAUUAUGAAGCCUUAGGAAGAACAGGGAUAUUCACCUGCUGCUGAGCCCCCCUCCGCUUUGAUCUUAUCACUCUGGGAGAAACUCACUGCCAUGUUGUGACAACACUAUGGAGACGCCCAGGUGAGGGACUGAGGCUUCCUGCCAACAGCCACAUGAAUAAGAUUGGGAACAGAUCCUCCAGCCCCAGUCAAGCCUUCAGAUGACUGCAGUCUCAUGAAAGACCCUGUGCCAAAACCACCCAGCUUGAUGAAAUAAUCUGUACAACAAACCCCCAUGACACAAGUUUACUACAACAAACCUGCACAUGUACCCCUGAACUUAAAAGUUAAAACAAAACCACCACCACCACCACCACCACCCAGAAAAAACACCCAGCUAAGCCACUUCUGAAUUCCUAACCUACAGAAACUAUGAAAUAAUAAAUAUUUGUAUUUUCAAAAUUAGCUGGGUGUGGUGCCAUGUGCUUAUAAUCCCAGCUACUUGAGAGGCUGAGGCAUGAGAAUCACUUGAACCUGAGAGGCAGAGGUUGCAGUGAGCCAAGAUUGUGCCACUGCAAUCCAGCCUGGGCAGCAGAGCGAGACUCUCUCAAAAAAAAGAAAAAAGAA
ensembl:lncRNA EXTL3-AS1 EXTL3 antisense RNA 1